rnacentral:rRNA from 1 species
UACGUAGGGGGCAAGCGUUGUCCGGAAUGAUUGGGCGUAAAGGGCGCGUAGGCGGCCAACUAAGUCUGGAGUGAAAGUCCUACUUUUAAGGUGGGAAUUGCUUUGGAAACUGGAUGGCUUGAGUGUAGGAGAGGUUAGUGGAAUUCCCGGUGUAGCGGUGAAAUGCGUAGAGAUCGGGAGGAACACCAGUGGCGAAGGCGACUAACUGGACUAUGACUGACGCUGAGGCGCGAAAGUGUGGGGAGCAAACAGGAUUAGAAACCCCAGUAGUCC